CCUGUAGUCCCAGGUACUUGGGAGGCUGAGGUAGGAGGAUUGCUUGAGCCCAGGAGGUUGAGGCUGCGGUGAGCUACGAUGGCACCACUUCACUUCAGCUUGGGAAAUACAGCAAGAUGUUGUCUCCAAAAAAA